rnacentral:rRNA from 1 species
GAUGAACGCUGGCGGCGUGCCUAAUACAUGCAAGUCGAGCGAACGGACGAGAAGCUUGCUUCUUUGAUGUUAGCGGCGGACGGGAGAGUAACACGUGUAUCCCCUCCCUAUAAUUCUGGUAUAAUUUCGGGAAACCGGCUCUAAUCCCGUAGAAUAUUCUGAACCGUAUGGUUCAAAAGAAAAAGACGGUCUUGCUGUCAGUUAUAGAUGGAUCUGCGCUGGAUUAGCUAGUUGGUAAGGUACCGGCUUACCAAGGCGACGAUGCAUAGCCGAACUGAGAGAGUGAUCGGCCACACUAGAACUGAGACACGGUCCAGACGACUAAGAGAGGCAGCAGUAGGGAAUGGGACGCAACGGGGGAAAGCCUGACGGAGCGGCGCGGAGUGAGUGACGAAAGUGUUCGGAGCGUAAAAAUCUGUUACGAGGGAAGAACAUCUUUGUAAGUAACUGAGCAGAUAGUGACGGUACUUAAUCAGAAAGCAACGGCUAACUACGUG